AACAGCUGACCACUAAAGACAAAAUCAUUUGAACCAUAACAUCUUUUGAAAAAAAGCGUAGAACCCCAUUUUUUCUUCAAUAGUUCAUCAUCACAUAAGACCACUUUCUUUUUUCUUUGUAUCUGAAUUCUACAUUAAAAACACAAACCAGAUUUUUAUAUCACUACUCUCUCUCUCUCUCACAAUAUUAGGGGGGGAUUCAAGAAUGAAAAAAGAAAUGAACAUAGUCUCUUCUCUCUCAUAUCUCACGUUCAUCUUCAUAUUUAGCUACAGUGACCAAAACAAAAUACUCAGUUAUUUUUUCCACACACAGUAAAAUACUCCUCACUCAUUUUCAACUAAAACCAAACCUCACAUUAACUUCUUUUUUAAUAACAACACAAUAUUCUUCAAACACUCCAUAAAUCUCUUCACCAUAUUAUAACACUCUCCUAACAUUACAACUUCAUACACCACUCAAUAGCACCGUGAGUACGAGAUCCUCGAAUCUUCAUCGUCCGUGUAAGGGAUCUCGCAAUUUCCUUUCGUUCUUCUUCAUUAUUCUACUGUUUUCAUCAUUUGGUUUUAACGUUCUUCUCAUAUGUUUUUUAUUACUUUGAGAUUAUAUUAUCUUUUUUUAUCAUGAG
rnacentral:lncRNA from 1 species